CGCCAUCGACGAUUCGCUCGCUUUGCUCAUGCAGUUGGACGGCAACUCCGAAACGAAAUUACUCACUGGAAUCAUACGGGAGAAAACGGACGAUUACGAAUUUCUCAAUGGGACCAGCGAGCUUCCCGCACGUACUUUCCCUGGGAGGCGACGAUCGGAGAAAAAAUCGAUUGGAACGAAUUUCUCGCAAUGUUCGUUCGAAGAAACGGAGACAAUGGAGCGGCCACGGGAACGAGCUCGUCGAGAGGGUUCAGUAAAUAAAUCCUGAGAAGGUAAUCUACUCGCGCGGCUUCCAUACGAUCCCCAUUUAUGGGUGAGAAGUACAAUCGAUGGCUCUGGUGACCCGAGUCGAGAAAUCAUCAUUUCGGAGAGAGAGAAAUAAAAGCUGGAGCCGCACACGACGAAGUAUCGAAGAGCAGAAGAAAUAAUAAGACGGAGAGAGAGAGAAAGAGCCGUUCCAGGAAGUGAACGAAGGCGCAAAUAAUUAGGAGCGUUAAGCGCAACGUCGCGUCGGAGCUUCGACUCGGGCGAGUCUCUCUCUCUCAUGUAAAUGAGCGAUCUCGUCUUCGAACCCGAGGAGACGUCCCCUGAAAAUCGUUCGCUCUUUCUCCCUUUAAUUCAACGUGCGAUACGCAGCGACAAAAAGAUGUUUAGGUCCUCGAGCAACCCGUUACCUCGUGCGAUAACGCAUCGUAUACUUAAUACCCUAACGAACGACGAGUGACGGCGAACGACACGCUCGUUGCUCCAGUUACAAACUCGAGGAGAUUAGAAUGAAGCUUUGUGAGAAACCGUUCGCGAGAGAAGUGCGAUGUAAUUUUCGACUGUACGUUUCUCUAAAUAUUUGUCCCAAGAUUUUCGUCACGAUUCCGACGAAACUCUUCGCUCUUCUCCACUUUCGAGCUAUCCAAUCCGAAUUAAAAGCGUUGUCACUGAAUCUCUGAUCGAUCCGCAAGUAGCUCCAUGUGGGUUCCAAAAUUUCCGUACCAAAACCAUCGAAACGGACAUUUUAUUAAUUACGAAAAUUCCUAAGGAUUUAUCAUUUUGGAGAUUUUUCGAUGCUUCGGACUGACGAGAAGUUUGUUUCAGGUAACAAACUUUUAAAUUAUUUAUAAAAACGUGAAAUAAUCGACGAGAUUUUCUAUUUUAAGGGCUUCUAAUGUUACCUCAAAUGAAGCAUUCGAAAUUUAAUUUCAGGCUGCCAAAUAUCUGUGAGAAAAUCGUUGUUCCGAGCUUCCAUUUAAUCAAGCCUUUUUUCUAGUUCUGCAGGCGUCGAUAGCAACGAUUUUUUGGUUUUCCUGAUAUCUUGAUGGGGUUGAUUGAACAUUGGGAAGCUGAACACUUCUAAAUUGGAAUGUGCGUCGACAGUGAAAAAAAUGGAUUAUUUUCGUUGAAGAAAUCGAAGCAGGCGUGAAUGAUCAUUGAAGAAACCGAACUCUUUCCCGUAAACGAGAAGUUAAACAAGAAUGUAUUUUCGUAGCGUUUCUUACUGCGGAGAGUAUAUUGAGCUCGCCGGUCUGAAUGCUCACAUGCAUUGGAACUCACGGAGUCACGUUCCAUCGUACGAAAAUCGAGACUUGUUUGAGACUCUUGCGAGCCAUAUAGCCCAAUAAGCGAGGAGAGAACGAUGGUGAAAAUUGUCCUGAACGUGCUCGGAGCUCGAAAUUCAUUGACGAGUGGGUUGGGAGCGUAUAAUGUAUGAGGAAAAGCAUGGGCUUUGAGAAUCCGAGAAAAAGGGUGAUACCAAAAUUAACGUGGACUCGGUCUCGAGCUUUUAUUUCCGGACUAUAUUACUCUGAAGAAUAUAAAAUGUGUGGCCACAAAUUUGGUUUUCGAUCGAUGGAGCAAACGAGAAAAUGAUUUAUUCGCUGACAUCGUGAAAAAAUUGGGCUCAGAAAAACGUUUGGAUCUCAAGAAAAGAUUUCUCGUCGUUUACCCACCAUUCAAGGAGCCUCCAAACUCGUUGAGCUUGCAAAUCGAACACGAAACAUUGAUCUCUGUGCUUGAAAAACUCGACGAGCUCUGCUUCAUUCAUUAGUCAUGUUUCGAUAAUCAGUAGUCAGGGUAUCGAGUGAACGAAUCGUUAGGCACGUGAUUCAUAAACAAGAGGAACCUCGUACAUGAUUGGGACAAGUCACGGAGGAGAACAAAAUGCAACAAGUUUUGAGAAAAAGCGUAAUAAUUAUUUCGUCUCAAUAUUCGAGUCAGUCGACGAUCUGGCUAUCGAGAAAUUGUGAUCGCUAAUUGGAAAAACGGAUUUUCGAAAAGGCUUCCCGACGUACUUCGUCAAUUCGGUUUUCAUCAAAGUAUUUGUGAUUCUCGAGAAAAUUCAGAAACUUCACGUCGACAACAGCAUUCUGAACAACGAAGCAGCCUCAAUGUGUACAAAAUCUUUGAGAUCCUUCCGGUAGCGUCAACAAACGAAUUUCAUUGCGAUGCGCCCACGGCGACCGACGCUUGCGACUGGAGAUACGGAGGCGACGGAGGCUCUAGUAUGCGAAUAAAAAAGCGUUCGCCACGCAUUCCUGAAAGGCCGGAGCUCUUUCCGCCUCGGAAUCGCAUUUGAAGUGUCAAUAUGCGAAAUACAAUACACGCUGUGACAUCAUUCGCGUGGUUGAAUACGAACUUAAUGCUUUCUCACAAUGAUCAGUGGGAGGCGAGCGUCGUAAUCGCAAGCGAGAAUCACUCGGGUGAUUUUUCAUUUCCACGUUUCGUUUUCGGAUCUUCCGCGUUCCAGGCUCCGGUGCUCUUGGUUUUCGGACGGAAUAAAAUGUGCAGCGAAAACGAAAACAAAACGGUUUUGACAGUCGACGAUUCGUUGAAUGUUGUCAAAAUACCAGCGGAGCUGAACGAAGCGAUUCCCCCGCGGUGGAGACAGGCAGGAAAAAUCAUCGAGGGGAGUAUCGCAGCGAAGAUCGGAUGGCAUUUAUAGGGAGAUUGAAAAAACGAGAGAUGGAUACGUAAAACGUACAAAACGAUCCCUUCCCACUGGCCCCAGGGCACGUGCGCCCUGAGGAAGAUACAAUUAGCAGUUGAUUUAGCAGCUCUCGUUCGUUCACGACUCUGUAACGCGAUACGCGAUUUUUUUUAGUCCUCCGCGUAUGUAAUCGCACCCCCAUAACUCUUCGCAUGAUAUCAAUAUCUGCGAUAUUAUUUACAUUAGCUGCCCUUUAUCUUUCGCUCGAUAUAAUUUCUCCGUGCUGGCAAAUUUGUAUCAGCCUCUGAUAUAUCGACGGAAUGCUCAAUUAAGCAUUAUUCCUUCAUCUACGUGGGGGCUUGAUAAAACGAUGUUAAAGAGAAACCGAAACAGAGCUAAAUAAGAACGAAAAUGGCGAUCGGUUUUCAGAAUUCUCCACGGAGAAAACGAGACCGAAAAUUCUAGAGGAAAGUACUAGGAAUAUAGUAAAAAGACCAAUACCUUUUAUUCAGAAGUCUCAAGAGUCUUUUUCUCUACAAGCAUAGUAAAAAAUGUUUUCACACGAAGAGAAAAAAAUAGUAAUAAUUACUAUGCUGCCAUGGUAUUGGGGUUCUACAUCGCCCAUUUCGAAGGUUUUUACCAAAAAUAUUGUAAUUUCCAAGUCAAUUCUGAAUGAAAAUUUUUAAAUUGCGUAUUUUGCUGUGACGAAGGUUUAAAC
rnacentral:lncRNA from 1 species